UUGUUAGUUGCCAUCAUUCAGUUGGGCACUCUAGCGAGACUGCCGGUAAUAAACCGGAGGAAGGUGGGGAUGACGUCAAAUCAUCAUGCCCCUUAUGACCUGGGCUACACACGUGCUACAAUGGUUGGUACAACGAGUUGCGAGUCGGUGACGGCGAGCUAAUCUCUUAAAGCCAAUCUCAGUUCGGAUUGUAGGCUGCAACUCGCCUACAUGAAGUCGGAAUCGCUAGUAAUCGCGGAUCAGCACGCCGCGGUGAAUACGUUCCCGGGCCUU
rnacentral:rRNA from 1 species